rnacentral:rRNA from 1 species
AGCGAACGCUGGCGGCAGGCCUAACACAUGCAAGUCGAGCGCCCCGCAAGGGGAGCGGCAGACGGGAGAGUAACACGUGGGAACGUACCCUUUGGUUCGGAACAACCCAGGGAAACUUGGGCUAAUACCGGAUAAGCCCUUACGGGGAAAGAUUCAUCGCCGAAGGAUCGGCCCGCGUCUGAUUAGCUAGUUGGUGGGGUAACGGCCCACCAAGGCGACGGUCAGUAGCUGGUCUGAGAGGAUGAUCAGCCUCACUGGGACUGAGACACGGCCCAGACUCCUACGGGAGGCAGCAGUGGGGAAUCUUAGACAAUGGGGGAAACCCUGAUCUAGCCAUGCCGCGUGAUCGAUGAAGGCCUUAGGGUUGUAAAGAUCUUUCAGGUGGGAAGAUAAAGACUGUACCACCAGAAGAAGCCCCGGCUAACUCCGUGCCAGCAGCCGCGGUAA